rnacentral:lncRNA from 10 species
CGAGGCGCGGGGGGCGGGGAGCCGGUCGCCCCGCCGGCCUCGUCAAGUUUGGGGCUGCCUAGAAGGAUUGGCAGCCACCAUUUGCAUGUGAUGUUGAUAAACUUCAUUUUACGCCACGUAUCCAGAGACUGAAUGAAUUGGAGGCCCAAACUCGUGUAAAAUUGAAUUUCUUGGACCAGAUUGCAAAGUACUGGGAGUUACAGGGAAGUACUCUGAAAAUUCCACAUGUGGAGAGGAAGAUCUUGGACUUAUUUCAGCUUAAUAAGUUAGUUGCAGAAGAAGGUGGAUUUGCAGUUGUUUGCAAGGAUAGAAAAUGGACCAAAAUUGCUACCAAGAUGGGGUUUGCUCCUGGCAAAGCAGUGGGCUCACAUAUCAGAGGGCAUUAUGAACGAAUUCUCAACCCCUACAACUUAUUCCUGUCCGGAGACAGCCUAAGGUGUUUGCAGAAGCCAAACCUGACCACAGACACUAAGGACAAGGAGUACAAACCCCAUGAUAUUCCCCAGAGGCAGUCUGUGCAGCCUUCGGAAACGUGCCCCCCAGCCCGACGAGCAAAACGCAUGAGAGCAGAGAGACAGAGUCUCGCUGUGUUGCCCAGGCUGGAGUGCAGUGGCGCGAUCUUGGCUCACUGCAACCUCCGCCUCCUAGAUUCCAG